AGAGUUGAUCCUGGCUCAGGAUGAACGCUAGCUACAGGCUUAACACAUGCAAGUCGAGGGCAGCAUGAUCAAGCUUGCUUGAUGAUGGCGACCGGCGCACGGGUGAGUAACGCGUAUCCAACCUUCCCUAUAGUAGUGGAUAGCCCGGCGAAAGUCGGAUUAAUACACUAUGUUGUAUUUAGAGGACAUCUGAAGAAUACCAAAGGUUUACCGCUAUAGGAUGGGGAUGCGUCUGAUUAGAUAGUAGGCGGGGUAACGGCCCACCUAGUCGACGAUCAGUAGGGGUUCUGAGAGGAAGGUCCCCCACAUUGGAACUGAGACACGGUCCAAACUCCUACGGGAGGCAGCAGUGAGGAAUAUUGGUCAAUGGACGGGAGUCUGAACCAGCCAAGUAGCGUGCAGGAUGACGGCCCUAUGGGUUGUAAACUGCUUUUAUACGGGGAUAAAGUGAGCCACGUGUGGCUUUUUGUAGGUACCGUAUGAAUAAGGACCGGCUAAUUCCGUGCCAGCAGCUGC
rnacentral:rRNA from 1 species